GGCCGGCUGCGGAGGUGGAAAAUGGCCGAGUUGCCGGAGGAGGUGGCGGUGCUGGUGCAGCGGGUGGUGAAGGACAUUCGCAAUGCCUUCCAGCGGAACCCCCACAUAGAUGAAAUUGGAUUAAUACCCUGCCCAGAAGCCAGGUACAAUCGGAGCCCUGUCAUCCUGGUAGAAAACAAGCUUGGUCUGGAAAGCUGGUGUGUCAAGUUUCUUUUGCCCUAUGUCCACAAUAAACUCCUCCUCUACAGACAAAGAAAGCAAUGGCUAAACAAAGAUGAGCUAAUAGAUACCACAUGUACCCUGCUGCUGCUGAAUCCUGACUUCACCACUGCUUGGAACGUAAGGAAAGAAUUAAUACUGUCUGGCACUUUAAAUCCACUGAAAGAUUUGCAUCUUGGAAAACUGGCGUUAACCAGGUUUCCAAAGAGUCCAGAAACAUGGAUUCAUAGACGAUGGGUCCUGCAACAACUAAUUCAGGAAGAUUCCUUGCCCAGUCUUGUGACUAAAGGAAACUUGGGAGCAGCACCUGUGGAGAGAAUUCACCGACUAGUGCAGGAGGAAAUGAAUCUCUGCUCUGAAGCUGCGGGGAGAUACCCAAGCAACUACAAUGCCUGGUCCCAUCGCAUCUGGGUUAUACAGCAUUUGGGAAAGCUAACUGUCAAGAUUCUCAUCGAUGAACUUUCAUGCACUAAAUAUUGGGUAUCCAUGCACGUCUCAGACCAUAGUGGAUUUCAUUACCGCCAGUUCUUACUCAAGUCCUUGACAGGCAGAACUGUGACUGACAAUAAUGUGCUGGUACAGAACCAAAUGGUAAAUGAGCAAAGCCUUAGCCUUCAAAAGGAGGAGGAGGAAAGUGCAAGGGCAGAAGCUGCCUGUGUGAAAGAACAGAGUGUGGAUCUCACCCACUGUUUAGAGGAAGAGUUGGAGCUCUGCACUGAACUGAUUGAUACUUACCCAGGGCAUGAAACCUUGUGGUGUCAUAGAAGGCUUGUGUUCUACCUUCAGCACCACAUAAGCAACAAGCUUCCUCUUCCGAGUGUGGUGGUAUCAUCUGUGGACAGCAGUGAUGAAACUCUGAAUAAUUCCUACCGUGGUCCUGCAACAAGUAACAUGGCACAAGCUAUGGAUGUUGAUGGUUUAAAUGAAUCCAGCAGCAAACAAGGUUAUGCCCAAGAAACAAAACGCCUGAAGCGUGCUCCUAUGCAGGACUCUAUUGGUCCAGAAAGGGAAUACCGUUUCAUUGAUGAAGUAUUAUCAACUUGUAAGGAUGUGGAACAAGCCAGGUUUGCUACUGCUUACAGGAAAUGGUUGAUUACUUUUUUAGGUCAGUGAAGGAAGAGUUUCAGGUCUUCAGGGUUCUUCUUUUAGUGCAAUAUUCUCUUUUCAGACACAAAUGCAUGUCUUGGUUGAAAGUGUUACCUAACCAUGUGUUUCUCACUCUUUCAAUAGUCUUAAAGUUCAUAUUCAGAGUAAAAGUCUGUCAGUUUAUUAAAGACCCAGCAUACCUUUUUAUUAAACAAAUGCAAUUUAGUCUUCUUAAGAAAUCACUGGGUCAGCUUCCUACCAUGCUGUUUUCUUAUUUUGUAACUUCUGCAUUAAGGUGGACUCUGAAUCAUUUAACUUAAAAAAAAAAAAAAAAGUCUGAAAUGGUUUUGAAGCAGUGUCUGGAAAAAGAAUAGGUGGGUGUCAGAUAAAUCUAUUACCGGGUUGUUCCUCCGUUUUACAGUGGCAUCUUUCUAAUACCUUAUUAGAUUGAGAUUAUAUUCAGUGAGUGCUAUUUUGUAUUAGCAACCAUCGGUACAAACUACAAUGUUUCUUUCUCAAGGCUCCAGUUAACAGUUUGAGUCAUGCCUUUUACUAUUGUAACUGAAUUUGUGUUUGCUUAUUAAUUAUCACAUGAGUUUGAUUGAAAACUCAAAGAAGUUGAAAUCCUGAAAAGCAGACAGAGGAAAAUGUGACAAAAUAGUUCAGCCAUAUGUUCACACUUAACAGUCAAAGCUACAUUUGGGAAUACUUUUCUUAGACUACCUUUUUUCCUACUUCUAUUUAUUUAUUUAUUAUAUCUCAACAAUCCAGAAUUAAUGAUGAUAACACAUUUCUGAAUGUAUUAUGUACACUACAGAAUCUCAGCCUGCUAAAUCACACAUUGGUAACGUACUUAACCGAGACUGUGCAAGUCCAAUAGAUAAUGGAGUAAAAAAGUAAUUCUUCUGACUAGUCAUUGAGACUAUACAUUUCAAAAAAUGUAUAGCUGGAGGGAGCUAUCUCUUCACUUCUGUUCUUUUGCAGAGCUUCAGUCUUUGUGAUUUUUCUCUUUUGACUUUUCAGAGCACUUCUCCAACCAUACAUCUCUGUUUACGUAACUGUAAAUUGUAAAGGAAUUUGAAAUGCAUUUCUAUUCCAGUGAAAUUAAACAUGAAUGCUUUGUCAUUUCCUUAGAUAUUGCCUAUAUAAGGGAUUUUCUACAUUAAUGGAAUUUUGCUGGUCCAAAGAACUAGGGAAGAAACAUUGUACAACUUUAGAAGCUUGUAGAGUAGCAACAUUGCCUCUGUUCCAGACAGUUCACUGAGGGGAUUAGAUUUUCAAGCAAUUUUUCCAAAAUUGCUAUACAUUUCUCCUGCCCAAAGUGCCUCCUGUGCUAAGUUUUAAGCUACUGUUAGUUGGGCAGAGAGGGCAGCCGUGAGGCAGGAAAGAAAAACAAAACAGGCAGCCUGCUCAAAAGCUAACAUUUGGAAAAAAAGGCACUUAAAACAUGGGGAGUUCCAACAGUUCUAAAUAAUAUGAUGGAUGGAGAUUACACUUGCAUUUCAAAAUGAGGAAACCACCUCUAGUGGUGAGUAUGUUCAUAACUCAUUUCAGGCACAGACUGACAGACAUUUCUAAAUAUACACUCACCUGUUUACAGUACCUAGAUAAGACUGACCUAGGCUUGGGCAUCUUCAUGGCAAAACUUUGUCUCAUCCACAACAGAAACCGUAUAUCUAGGGACAUUUUACAUGGCUUUUUUUUUUUUUUUUUGAGAUGCUCUGGAAUGCUGUCUUGGUUGAUGAUUUUAGUUGCAGAAGAAUCUAUGCAGUGUGUGAAGGAGAUGUGGGAACAGAGUGAGAGUCUCACUUGGCUUAAGAUAUUGGCUGUGACAACUGACAAAUGGAGGUGUCUUUUCUUCCCAACCUCUCCUCUGUUCUUCCAACCAGCAAAGAAGAAUGUAGCAAAGCAUUGGUAAGGUGGCCUCAUUUCGUAUUUAGAUAACUCUACCUCCUAAAAAGUGCUCUGAUAGAUGUCCUUAAGUGGAGUUCAUCAGGCUGUUUUUUUGCUAGACCUGCAUCCUCUUUCAGAGGUGAAAAGCAAAAGCUUUAUCUAUGAAGCCAUCUAGUUACCCCAGGAGAGUUAAAAGGAGGGGAAAAAAAAAGUAUAUUGUCAUUAAAGUUGGGAGAACUAGAAUUAGCAUAAACUUUUAUUAGUCUUUUCCUCUGAAGAAGCAAUGUGUUUCUGAAAAAUGGAGGAAAUAUGUGCUUCCAGGAAAUAUGUGCUUUACAAGAAAUUCCUUGUAGACAGUUUAUGCUUCUGAAUUAUAGACCUGACACUUCCUAGGGGCUUUAACUUAGUGUGUAAUAUUAACUUCUCAGGGCAUAGCCUACUGUAGUGAGUUAGAGGCCAUUUUUACACAGUGAGGUGCAUAUUCGUUUCACCGGAAAGUGAGUGUCUUGUGAAGAAAAGAGCUUUUCUUGGAUGGAGUGUUCCUGUAUGUUCAUUGUGAAUAAAGUUAUGGAAGUGGUACGUUAUUAAUACAGUAGAAUUUCCUGAAUGGCUGCGUAGAACAAGUAGAUAAAUGCUUGGGGAUUUUUAACGGAAUAUUAUCUGUUAUUGAAGAAUCACAUAAAUGAUACAAGGUACCAGAACUUAUUUUUACAAGGCAUAGUAUAUAUACCUACUGUAUUCAUUCCUUUUUGUUCCAGAUUUUCUUUUUUUUAAGUGGCGGCUACAUUUAAAACUGGGUGGUCAUUUCAAAAACCAUGAUUGGGAAUGUUGUCAUUAUGUGAUGUAAUAGAAACAGUAGAUGUAGUAAAUGGUUUUUAAGUAGCAUUAUGAUCCAAAGCAGUGACAGCACUGCGGUAUUUGAGUCAUUAAACACUAAUUUUGUAACACCAUCAUGUCCAUCAAAGUACUAUUCUGUGUAGGGCAAAAUGUUUAUUUUAUGAAGAGAUGUGAAAAGAAAAAUAAUUCUCACAGCUUUUGUAUUAGAAGGAAGUAGGAUGGCUUUUAAACUUGAUAUUAUAAAUAUUUUAAACAUAGUAUUUUGCGCUUUUUUUCUAUGGAAAACUAUCAGAUAAACAGUUGUGACUAUGUAAGUUUUAUGUACAUUUCCAAUGCAGAGAAAUUAGAUAACUAAUAAAAUUUUGUAGCAGAAGGAAUGACAGGACAGUAAGACACUGGAAAGUAAUCUGUUAAGUGGCUGAUGUUCUACAGGGUAGUGAAUGUAAAGCAUUAAUUUGUUUUUUCAGUGGUUGGUCUUAGUUGUAGGAUUAAUUCCUUUCAGAGGGAAUUGUUUUCUUUCUUUGUCAUCAGUAGAGAGCUUAUCUGUGAAUAAAUUACCUGCAUUUAUUUUCCCACAGUAAAUGUGGAUGGGUGGAUGGAUGAACUGUAUUUAUGUCAUGUGCUGUGAAAAAGGCAAAAAUCUUCCACAUAUGGCUAUUUUUGUAUAACACUGGUAGCCUGCAAACAGAACUCUUCCAUGGAAGGCUUGUCCUAAGUCUGAAUCCAGCAGGACCAUUGCCAAUGUCAGGAUGUUUGCUGAAAGUGGCAAGAUGUCUUGCUUCCCCUCUCUUGCUUAAUAUGCCUUACUUUCACAGUACUUGGACAAAUACGUGCAUACACAAACCAAAUUAUUAGAGACUGUUUAUUCAGAGUGCUUGUAGGGAGUGUUUGAGACAGUAAAAGAGUUUGUAAGGUCUGUCAAGCAGGAAGUGCUCAGCCAGUAUCCUACCUGGGGAACUUUUAUUAGGAGUGCUCCAGGAAGGAACAGACAGGCAUAAUCUGGAUAAAGAUUUUUCCGUUUUGAUGCUUUAGCAUCAUAGGAGAUUAAGAACAGUAUGUCAGACACAAACCAGCAACUGAAAUUGGUAUUUGAAUACAAACCAGAAGUAGCCUGUCUUAUACUAUUACUUUCAAUCUUUCAGGGAUUUUUUAAAAUAAAAUAAAUCAUAUUUUUAAAAAAUAAAUGCAAAGUUACUUCUUUUUAAUAACUCCUGACUUUCAGUUAUUGGAUUUGAAAGCUCUCCUUAAAGGGCUCAACUUUAUUGGAAAGUAUUAGCACCUUUCCUCUCUUUUCCUGGACAAUGUGAUUCAUUCCUAAUUUUUUAAAAUGAGCACCUAAAAUCAUAGGGCAUUACUAAAACUAUAGCUCAUCACCUUAAAUGUAAAACUUAAGCAAGGACAUAUUCCACUCAUACAGGUUCUUUUUUUGAUUUUAUGUCACUAGGUGCAAGGACAAAAGGUAGUGAGAACACGUAAGAAAACAUUAAGCUGGUAUGUACAGUUUUAGUUUACUCAAUUUGGGGGUUGAUUAAAUCAGAAAGCUUAGCAUGAGCAAGUAAUAAACCCUUGUUCAGAAAUAAUUUGCAGGAUCUAGCCAUUAGUUUGUUUCCAGUCUGAGUGCUUGAUUUUUUUACAUCUUUUAAAAUGAGUGACAAAGUUCUCACUGACUUCACUGACAUAUGAUCAGGCCACACCAUGGAGAGGAUACCAGCCAAUAAAUAGCAGUUUUGUGUGAUGUAUUCUAGUGAUGACUUUGAAGUCAUAAAUACGGCCAUUUACCAAGGAAGAAUGCAGUUAGGGUGGUGUAUGUUCAUCAGCACUUGUGACUAAGGAAAAACUGUUUAAGGUUCUCGAAUAUUACAGGUUUUAAAAAGGCAGCUAGAAAGAAAUAUGUGUACUAUGGUGUAUCAACUAAGAAAGCUUCAUUUUUUCCCCACCCUCUUUCACUCCCCCACCCCUUUUUUUGUGUGUUUUUUUAAUUCUUUUGUAGUGAAAGACAGUUUCAUGCAAUACAUCUGUGUGUAAACCAGGGUAACACAUUAGUUUGGGAAGUCUGGCAAAUUGAUAGCAGGUAGGUUCACGCCCGAGUUUUAUUCAAUUAGGGAUGAAUAGUAAGCUUUUACGUGGCAUGUGAUAACUGAUGUGAUAUUGAAGAGAGAAAGUCUUAAUAUAUAGUGAAUGGCUUAAGUGUUGCUGUUGUGCCAGCAUGGUAUAUACAUUUAUGGUGCGACAAUAAACUGCACGUUCAUCAUUCUGUCAUCUCAUGAAUGCUUAUAACUAGGUAACAGCUAUUUUCCUCUUUUAAAUGCAUCUGCUUACAUUGAUUUGAGAUGUUCUACAAUUAUUUGUUGUUAUCUAGUACUAGAUAAUUUUCUCUACACCUUCAGUUCCUCUUCACUGGAACCUAGCCAAGUAUAGAUUUUCAUGGUUAUACGUCAAGUUUUGCUGUGAAGGGAAGUAGAAAUUCCUCCGUAUAAAACAUUCAGUUUUCCAAUGUCUAGUUACAAACACAGGAGGGCAUCCUAGCACUGCUUUCCAGUUGUGCACUCUUGAGUUUUACCGUGUUUAUCUCAAAUAUUUUGUAUUGCAUGUUAAUUACAUUUUUACAUGUCCUUGUAGUACAAAAUAGAAAAAAAAAAAAACAAACCAGCACACCUUUACAGUCCUAACUAUUCUAUGCAGAAGUCUUCCAAAAUUUACAGGUACAAAUUUAGUGGUGGUGGUUGGUAAAUAGAUUUUUUUUUUUAAUUUAUUUAUCAGCAGGCUUGGUUUUAUAUGUAUUAGUGACAGAAUGAACUAAGCACAGCUGUAAGUUACUGUAUUUCUGUAGAAAAUGGAAAGUAGUGUAAAAUUGUUUUUGUUAUAU